rnacentral:rRNA from 1 species
GACGAACGCUGGCGGCGUGCCUAAUACAUGCAAGUUGAGCGCUGAAGGUUGGUACUUGUCCCAACUGGCUGAGCAGCGAACGGGUGAGUAACGCGUGGGGAAUCUGCCUUUGAGCGGGGGACAACAUUUGGAAACGAAUGCUAAUACCGCAUAAAAACUUUAAACACAAGUUUUAAGUUUGAAAGAUGCAAUUGCAUCACUCAAAGAUGAUCCCGCGUUGUAUUAGCUAGUUGGUGAGGUAAAGGCUCACCAAGGCGAUGAUACAUAGCCGACCUGAGAGGGUGAUCGGCCACAUUGGGACUGAGACACGGCCCAAGCUCCUACGGGAGGCAGCAGUAGGGAAUCUUCGGCAAUGGACGAAAGUCUGACCGAGCAACGCCGCGUGAGUGAAGAAGGUUUUCGGAUCGUAAAACUCUGUUGGUAGAGAAGAACGUUGGUGAGAGUGGAAAGCUCAUCAAGUGACGGUAACUACCCAGAAAGGGACGGCUAACUACGUG